rnacentral:misc_RNA from 1 species
UGAAACGCAGUUGCUGAGAAGAAAAGCAUGGCUGAAGAGCUGCCUUGUAAAAUCCUCCUGGUUUUCGCUUCGAUGGCAUUGGUAAACGGUUUAUUCACAUGGACAAUGGGUAAGAGCUGCAGACGGGAUAUAAGACAGUUUUUAUGCACCAAGGAACGUGUAUGGACAUACAACACGAGCACAAGCGAGUAUGUUCGAUGUAAAUUCGACCAGGUGGCGACUAUCGCUAGCGCAUCUGUUCUCUUCAAGCGGUAUUAUUUCCAUGAUGAGCAACACCACUGGACCGCCAAGCGCCUCCAGGGAAUCUUCUCUAAGGAGCAAAGAGACGUCAUGCAAGUUCGCAACAUGGAUAAUGUGAUCAUCGACAAGGAGCAAAUGCUUUAUCUAAGCCGAAAGUAGUCGCUGCGCCGUAAUCAAGGUGACGCAAGCACACCUUGUUUGUAUGUACAACGCAACGUAUAUGGACAUACAAUACGAGCGAAAGCGGCUACAUUCGAUGCAAGGUGGACCAAGCGAGAGAUCAGUGUAACACAUCCAUUUUCUUCAGACGGAUGUACUUUUAUGAUGAGCAACACCGAUGGAUUGCCAAGAAGCUCGAGGGAUUAUUUUCGAAGCAGCAAAAAGAUGUUAUGCAAGUCCGCAACAAAGGGCGUGUGUUCCUCUUCAAGGAAAAGGUGCUUUUUAUGAGCAAGAGGCACCGCUGCGCCGUAAUGAAGGUUAAGCAACAACACCUCGGCUGGGAAACCUACUACGACUUGCGGCUUUGGGAUGCCUGGGUAAAGAUAGGACCUCACGCUAAAUCUGUGCAACAAUUUGCGAAGCAUGCGCACAAGGGAAAGGUUAUUUAUGGGCCGCUAUGUGACAAUAUCCUUCAAAUUAACUGAAAAACACUACGCGGGCUCUUAAGUGGUUAAGAUAACAAUAUAAUUAACAUUGGCUAAAAUAAACAUCAACGUAGUAAAAUUGACAUGACUAUAAUAUAGCUGGCAAUGCAUGAUAGAAAAUUAAAGCAAACUUUAGGUAAGCAAAAAUACUCGUAUUUCUCUUCUUUGUCUCUUUGUCUCUUCUUUCUCUUCUUUGUCAGCGCAAGCAAUUAGCGGCGACUUCUUUUCUAUUUUUAUGAGUCCGUAUAUCUCAUUUGAACGCGAUAGCGUUCAACAGCUCGUUUGGCAGAACUUAGGGUGUCGGCCUAAGUGUCGGCUUCAUUGGUUGUGAGCCGAAAGUAAGCGUUGUCUAUGAGAUAAAAUUUGAGAUAGAUGGCAAUAAAAAGAGUUGUAAAAACCUGGGUUCGAGUGGGAUUUGAACAGAGAACUCGUCCGUGCCAGCAACGUGUUCUACCCCAGAGCCACGCUCGUGCUUGAUACAGUUCCUCAAAAAAAAACUAAAUGAAUGUCAUGUAGUGUGAAGAGUGUCUGCUUGUGAUAUUGCGGGGCAGAAGCGCAGAAUCGCGCCAGGCGUCAAAACAUGCUAAUUGCGCAAUGACUGAUUCGCAUGAAGGCCCACCAAUUGCAAAACACACAGGCAUAAUCAACAACGUGUGCAACUGCGCCAGUACACGCGUUGUCUUACGGACGCGUAGUGAGUACUUCGCCAAUUCGCAAAAUGUAUACUUAUGUAGUAGUGGGAACUUCGCAACUUUACCUGUAGUAAGCAUUCUAGGGUAGUUGGAAACGGCCAGUUUGCACACGCACAGACGUUUCUUUCCUUGCGGCAAGUUUGAGUCGGGCACCGAGAAGCGAACCCAGGCCAGCGACUGAGAAGGCGUAAGCGAAAGGGGCCCGAUCACGUCAUCGCGUUCUACUCUUGAAGGCGGAGGUCAAGCGUCCUACAAGUUUGUAUGUACAAGAGAUCUUAUAUGGACAUAUAAUACCAGCUCCACGGAUUUUAUUAUGUGUAAAGCGGACCAAAUGAAGAGUUACCGUAACACCACUAUGUUCUUCACACGAUCAUUUUUCACGGACCAACAAUGGCGUCGGAGCAUUCAGAAUCUUGAAGGACGAUUUUCAACGCAACAUAAAGAAGUAAUGCAGGUCAGCAACAAAGAUCACAUGGUCACCUCGGUGGAGGAUCUUCUUUAUACGAGCGAAACAUAUCGCUGUGCAGUGAUCCUAGUCAAGCAAUUUUUACCCAAUCAUCAAAAAUUUUAUGACUUGCGAGUUUGGGACACUUACCUUAAAACUCGCCCUCACGAGAAAUGUAUUAAGCGUUUCGAGAAGCUGACACAAAGAGGACAUGGAAUUUACAUGCCGAAGUGCAGGAUAAUUUUAAGAAUCAAAUAAAAGUUAUAGG